GUGGCGACACGUGGAUUCGCGGAGGAGAAUGUGAUAGGUGAAGGAGGAUACGGUGUUGUGUAUAAAGGGGUAUUGGAGGAUGGGUCUGUAGUGGCAGUGAAGAAUUUGCUUAACAACAAGUGAGUGUUCAUUACAGUAACUGGAAAUUCAUGUUUAGGAUUCUGUUUGUUUCGCUAGAAAAUGGUUUUCAAGAAAUUUUCUGCUUUGAUUAUAGUUAUCUUUCCUUUUUAUUAUUUUAUUUUGCUGUUUUACUUUAGUAGCUAACUAGCUAUAGACCAAAGGUAUGAUCUGGAUACGUAUCGUCUCUCUGUCGGUGCCAGAUGUUAUGUUCUUUGUUAGGGAGCAGAAGUAAAAUUAUAUGGUUGCUUUCUUUUUCUCUAGUUCUUUCUCUUCUUUUUCAUUUUUAUUACCCAUGGAUACGAACUUUCUCAACCUUCACCUAUUCUAACGUUAUCGAUGAGCUUACUUUUAACUUCUUCGUUAUCAAGAUGCAUAGGUGUUGAUCUCAUCUUAACUUUUUCCAGAAUAUUUAUGAACUAAAAACACUUGGGAAUAUGGUAUGCCAAACCGUAUAGCGUAUAUAAUUGGGGUUAUGGAAUAACCAAGACUAUAUACUAUCAAUUAAUUUUUCCUGGAUAGAAAAUUGUGGAUAAGGAAUCAUCUGUUUUUCUUCGCCAUUUGGUCAAUAUUAAUAACACUAAUUUUAGCUGCCAUAGUUGCUAUUGUGUUAGUAGCCUAAUGGGAUGAGCAUCUACUUUCAAGGUUCAAUUAUCUGCAUCUUUGUCUCCUAUUAAAAAGAAAAGAAAAUCUAUCUUCUUAGGGAGUUUGUAAGGCAGAAUGGCUAAUUUCAUAACAUCUCUGUUUCUUUAUGAACAUUCUAAUUCCAAAGUUUCCAAAUUUUCAUUUGAGUACCUGGAAAAAUUAUCUGGACUAAAGUUCAUAUGCUGUGAGUUCUGUAUCUGUAGGGGCCAGGCUG
rnacentral:misc_RNA from 1 species